rnacentral:rRNA from 1 species
GAUGAACGCUGGCGGCGUGCCUAAUACAUGCAAGUCGAGCGCGAGAAUGAGGAGCUUGCUCCUCAUGAUCGAGCGGCGGACGGGUGAGUAACACGUAGGCAACCUACCCUUGAGAUUGGGAUAACUACCGGAAACGGUAGCUAAUACCGGAUACGACUUUUCCACAUAAGUGGAAUGGUUAAAAGGCGGAUUUAUCUGCCGCUCAUGGAUGGGCCUGCGGUGCAUUAGCUAGUUGGUGAGGUAGUGGCUCACCAAGGCGACGAUGCAUAGCCGACCUGAGAGGGUGAUCGGCCACACUGGGACUGAGACACGGCCCAGACUCCUACGGGAGGCAGCAGUAGGGAAUCUUCCGCAAUGGACGAAAGUCUGACGGAGCAACGCCGCGUGAGUGAUGAAGGGUUUCGGCUCGUAAAACUCUGUUGUUAAGGAAGAAUACUUGAGGUAGUAACUGGCCUUGAGAUGACGGUACUUAACCAGAAAGCCACGGCUAACUACGUGCCAGCCGCCGCCGUAA